UACCAUGCAGUCGACGAGAACGGAUUAUAGCUUGCUAUAAUUGUCAGCUAAGUGGCGCACGGGUGAGUAAUAUAUAGAUAACCUGCCCUCAAGAAAGGAAUAACAGUUGGAAACGACUGCUAAUGCCCUAUAUGCCUUUAAUACAUAAGUAUGCAAGGGAAACGCUUUAGUGCUUGAGGAUGGGUCUGUAUGGUAUCAGCUUGUUGGUGAGGUAAUGGCUCACCAAGGCUAUGACGCCUAACUGGUUUGAGAGGAUGAUCAGUCACACUGGAACUGAGACACGGUCCAGACUCCUACGGGAGGCGGCAGUGGGGAAUAUUGCACAAUGGACGAAAGUCUGAUGCAGCAACGCCGCGUGGAGGAUGACACAUUUCGGUGCGUAAACUCCUUUUAUAUGGGAAGAUAAUGACGGUACCAUAUGAAUAAGCACCGGCUAACUCCGUGCCAGCAGCCGCGGUAAUACGGAGGGUGCAAGCGUUACUCGGAAUCACUGGGCGUAAAGAGCGUGUAGGCGGAUAUAUAAGUCAGAAGUGAAAUCCAAUAGCUUAACUAUUGGACUGCUUUUGAAACUGUAUAUCUAGAAUGUGGGAGAGGUAGAUGGAAUUUCUGGUGUAGGGGUAAAAUCCGUAGAGAUCAGAAGGAAUACCGAUUGCGAAGGCGAUCUACUGGAACAUUAUUGACGCUGAGACGCGAAAGCGUGGGGAGCAAACAGGAUUAGAUACCCUGGUAGUCCACGCCCUAAACGAUGCACACUAGUCGUUGUGAGGCUAGACCUUGCAGUAAUGCAGUUAACACAUUAAGUGUGCCGCCUGGGGAGUACGGUCGCAAGAUUAAAACUCAAAGGAAUAGACGGGGACCCGCACAAGCGGUGGAGCAUGUGGUUUAAUUCGACGAUACACGAAGAACCUUACCUGGACUUGACAUAGUAAGACUUUCUAGAGAUAGAUUGGUGUCUGCUUGCAGAAACUUAUAUACAGGUGCUGCACGGCUGUCGUCAGCCUCGGUCGG
rnacentral:rRNA from 2 species